ensembl:lncRNA
GCGUGUAGUGUAUGUUGUGUUAAAUGUGCACUUUCUGAACGUACACCCUUGUUCUGUUGCUGAACUGACCUGCUCAACGCCUGCAUGUUUUUCUGUCCUUCAGAAAAGAGGCAGUCCUUAGGAAGCUGGGAGAUAGGCCUGAAAUCCAGAACUAUGAGACUUUAGCAAAACUUCACAAACUCUACGUAGAGAAAGGGCACUCAGAGGGAACAGACCCAGCAGCAACACUGACCAUCAAUGAGGCCUUCAGUGAACUGAAAAUCGAGAACGAAAAGAAGAAAAAUGACAUCCUUACUAUAGUUGGUGAGGAUUUAAUGAACCUUUGGAAGCUCUUCAACACUGCGGAGGAGGUCACAAAGGGAAAAAGCUUUUCUAAUUGGCAAUCAAAGGUGAGAAACUGUAAAGUCUCACAUAAACACAAAACAAGAGCUUUUCUUUUUUUUUGCUCUCUACAUUAUAUUGGUUCAUUCAGUGGUGUGUUGGGACUGCUAACAAUGUAGCACACUAAAAGAUCUGUGCUAGCCAAAUGCCAUAAACAUUGUAUUUUUUAUUUGCAGCUUUCAAAAAUAUGGACAGACAUAAACAAAAAGCUUCCGGAGGACAUUAUUGGUCUGCUGCGUGUUUUGCGCAAAGACAAAAGAGACAAAAAUCCUCAUCCAGAUCUGUAACAUCUCUAUUCCUGUUAUUUGACCCGUGUACUCAUUUCAGUUCAGUUCCAUUAUUAUGUAUAUGGAGGUUGUCAAGUGUUGGUGAGUUUAUCUGACUGUAAUGCUUCUGUUUUUCAGUUAAUUCACUCUGCCUCUUUUGUUUCUAACAGAAAUGUCAAUGAUGGGUUUAAAAAGAAGAAGAUUUUUGACCUCUUCCCGGACUUUUUCAUCAGUUUACACAGAGUGGCUAAAGACUUGAGCUGGAAGUAUUGAAGAUGCUGAGAGGACGUUACACCACAACAUACCAAAAGCAUUUACAUUUUUAACAGUCGACAUCAGACUUCUCAUCAUUUGAAAUGGAGCAAUCAUUUUUGUUGACAUUUAAGCACUAUGCUCAGAAUUAUUACUUAUAGUUUUUCACAGUUACUAAGACAAAUUCUGAAUAGCCUAAACCAAUUUGUCAAAUAAAUCACUCUUUCUGCAAAACCUUAAACA